GGCCCGCACAAGCGGUGGAGCAUGUGGUUUAAUUCGAAGCAACGCGAAGAACCUUACCAGGUCUUGACAUCCUUUGACCACUCUAGAGAUAGAGCUUCCCCUUCGGGGGCAAAGUGACAGGUGGUGCAUGGUUGUCGUCAGCUCGUGUCGUGAGAUGUUGGGUUAAGUCCCGCAACGAGCGCAACCCUUAUUGUUAGUUGCCAUCAUUCAGUUGGGCACUCUAGCAAGACUGCCGGUGACAAACCGGAGGAAGGUGGGGAUGACGUCAAAUCAUCAUGCCCCUUAUGACCUGGGCUACACACGUGCUACAAUGGGAAGUACAACGAGUCGCGAAGUCGCGAGGCUAAGCUAAUCUCUUAAAGCUUCUCUCAGUUCGGAUUGCAGGCUGCAACUCGCCUGCAUGAAGCCGGAAUCGCUAGUAAUCGCGGAUCAGCACGCCGCGGUGAAUACGUUCCCGGGCCUUGUACACACCGCCCGUCACACCACGAGAGUUUGUAACACCCGAAGUCGGUGAGGUAACCUUUUGGAGCCAGCCGCCUAAGGUGGGAUAGAUGAUUGGGGUGAAGUCGUAACAAGGUAGCCGUAUCGGAAGGUGCGGCUGGAUCACCUCCUUU
rnacentral:rRNA from 1 species